rnacentral:rRNA from 1 species
GACGAACGCUGGCGGUGUGCUUAACACAUGCAAGUCGAACGGCAAGACACUGAUUUCGUGGUGUGACCGGGUGCCGAACGCGUGAGUAAGACGAGUGUAACCUGCUCUUGUCUUUGGGAUAACUUAAGGAAACUGGGCCUACUCCCGGACAGCAGAUCCCGUUGCAUGGAGAGGGUUGGAUAGUCUCGGCGGUCGGGGCUGGACUGGCGGCUUAUCAGUUAGUUGGUGGGGUAGUGGCUGACCAAGGCAUUGACUGAUCGCCGGCCUGAGAGGGGGAACGGGGUCAUUGGGACUACGGUACGCCGCAGACUGGUACAGGGGGCAGCAGUGGGGAAUAUUGCACAGUGGUCGGGAGUCUGAUGCAGCGACGCCGCGUUCGUGAUGACGGCCUUCGGGUUGUGAACCGCAUUCGCCUGUGACGACGCUGGAGUGACGGUAAUGGGUAAAGAAGCACCGGCUAACUACGUG